UACGUAGGGUGCAAGCGUUGUCCGGAAUUAUUGGGCGUAAAGAGCUCGUAGGCGGCCUGUCGCGUCGACUGUGAAAACCCAGGGCUCAACCCUGGGCCUGCAGUCGAUACGGGCAGGCUAGAGUGCAGUAGGGGAGACUGGAAUUCCUGGUGUAGCGGUGAAAUGCGCAGAUAUCAGGAGGAACACCGGUGGCGAAGGCGGUUCUCUGGGCAUGUCCUGACGCUGAGGAGCGAAAGUGUGGGGAGCGAACAGG
rnacentral:rRNA from 1 species